UACGUAGGGGGCGAGCGUUAUCCGGAAUUACUGGGUGUAAAGGGAGCGUAGACGGUAAUGUAAGUCUGGAGUGAAAGGCGGGGGCCCAACCCCCGGACUGCUCUGGAAACUAUGUUACUGGAGUGCAGGAGAGGUAAGCGGAAUUCCUAGUGUAGCGGUGAAAUGCGUAGAGAUUAGGAAGAACACCAGUGGCGAAGGCGAUUCUCUGGACUGUAACUGACGUUGAGGCUCGAAAGCGUGGGGAGCGAACAGG
rnacentral:rRNA from 1 species